AUUGAACGCUGGCGGCAGGCCUAACACAUGCAAGUCGAGCGAGCGGCGGACGGGUGAGUAAUGUAUGGGGACUGCCCGAUCGAGGGGGAUAACUACUGGAAACGGUGGCUAAUACUGCAUACUAUCGGAUAACCCAUAUGGGAUUAGCUAGUAGGUGGGGUAAAGGCGCACCUAGGCGACGAUCCCUCGCUGGUCUGAGAGGAUGACCAGCCACACGGGGACAGAGACACGGCCCAGACUCCUACGGAGGCAGCAGUGGGGAAUAUUGAACAAUGGGCGCAAGACUGAUGCAGCCAUGCAGCGUGUAUGAAGAAGGCCUUAGGGUUGUAAAGUACGUUCGGCGAGGAGGCGUUACCCGCAGAAGAAGCACCGGCUAACUCCGUGCCAGCAGCCGCGGUAAUAC
rnacentral:rRNA from 1 species